rnacentral:tRNA from 1 species
GACUCCGUGGCGCAACGGCAGAGCGUCUGACUCCAGAUCAGAAGGUUGCGUGUUCAAAUCACGUCGGGGUCA